rnacentral:rRNA from 1 species
AGAGUUGAUCCUGGCUUAGGAUUAACGCUGGCGGCAUGCCUAAUACAUGCAAGUCGAAUGAGAAGCUUGCUCUCAUGGCGAACGGGUGAGUAACACGUAGGUAACCUGCCUUACACUCGAGGAUAACCGUUGGAAACGACGGAUAAUACUGGAUAGGACAGAGAUUCGCAUGAGACUCUGUUUAAAAGCGAUGGUGUAUGAGGGGCCUGCGGUGCAUUAGCUAGUUGGUGAGGUAACGGCUCACCAAGGCGAUGAUGCAUAGCUGGACUGAGAGGUUGAACAGCCACAAUGGGACUGAGAACGGCCCAUACUCCUACGGGAGGCAGCAGUAGGGAAUUUUCGGCAAUGGGGGAAACCCUGAACCCGAGCAAUGCCGCGUGAACGAUGAAGUAUUUCGGUAUGUAAAGUUCUUUUAUUAGGAAAGAUAGUGACGGUACCUAAUGAAUAAGCUCCGGCUAACUACGUGCCAGCAGCAGC